UACGAAGGGGGCUAGCGUUGCUCGGAAUCACUGGACGUAAAGCGCACGUAGGCGGCUUUUUAAGUCAGGGGUGAAAUCCUGGAGCUCAACUCCAGAACUGCCUUUGAUACUGAGAAGCUUGAGUCCGGGAGAGGUGAGUGGAACUGCGAGUGUAGAGGUGAAAUUCGUAGAUAUUCGGAAGAACACCAGUGGCGAAGGCGACUUACUGGACACAUAUUGACGCUGAGGUGCGAAAGCGUGGGGAGCAAACAGG
rnacentral:rRNA from 1 species